GCCGGGCGUGGUGGCGCAUGCCUGUAAUCCCUGCUACUUGGGAGGCUGAGGCAGGAGAAUCACUUGAACCCAGGAGGCGGAGGUUGCAGUGAGCCCAAGAUUGUGCCAUUGCACUCCAGCCUGGGCAACUAGAGUGAAACUCUGUCUCAA
rnacentral:SRP_RNA from 1 species